GCCGCGGCUGCUGACAGAAACCCGGAUGUGGGGAGCGGGGCGGGGCGCGGGCAGGGGGCGGGGCCGCGGCCGCGGGGCCGUGGCGCGCGGAGGCAGACGUUGGGGUCCCGCGCGCGAGCGCUCCACCUCCCGCCCCCGCCCUCAACGGCCGCCUUGAGGGGCCCCAACGGUCCGCACCCCCCUGGGCCGCAGGAGAGGCCGGGAGCUGUCCUGCCCGCGGGCCUUCGCUGCGCGGUCUUUAUCAAACACCGGGGAGCUCCGAGCAGGAGGUGCAGGGCGGGGAGAGGUGCCGUCCUCUGCGCUGUCUCCGCCGCCGGCUCCAGCCCCGCAGGCAGGGCACCUGAAACGCCCGACGCCUGCGCUCCUUGCGGAUUACCGCCGCCAAGUACUGCGGUGGGGUGAGCGCUGCUGCUCUGCCUCCCGCGCCGCUCGCUCCCCGGUCGCUGCCCAGGUCCAGCCCCCAAGGAAACACGUUGCAUCCAAGAAAACGAAGUGCGGAGGGGGUUUCUCCUGGCUUAUAUGCCCUACAAGGCAAGGGACAACGGAAUCAAGAAAUAAACAUCUGACCAUGUCACAAAUCCAAUUAUCUCUGACAAGGGUAGUAAAGUCAAGUGAAUAACAAAGCAACACUGUCUGGAAGAAGCUUUGUAUUUUGGAUCGUGCUGGAGAAGGUAGGACACCAGCUGGACACAGCAAAAAAACACUCCAAGCAGCUUUUUCAGCAUCCAGUACAACCAUCUUAUACCCUGACGAGUUCACAGCACUACAGUAUUUUCAAGUGUCAGAUCUCAUCUCUUCACUGUUUCUAAGAGGCAGAGUGGAGGAGGAAAGCAUUCCCCUCACAGAAUAUAAAAUAUGUGCUAAUGUCAUUACAGAAGAAUGCAGUGAAGCAGAAACCACAGUUAACAUGCUACAGUCUCUCCUCCUCAACCACUACCACCAUGAACUGUUUGGUUACGAUAAUAACCUCCAAAAGGUUUCAGUGCAUCAAACUUCGGGCAGAAAUUCUUCUGGUGAUUGUCUAAUCCCAGGAUCUAUCCAUGUUAAAAGCAGCUUUCCUUUUUCUAGCUCUUGACACACAUGUAUGUAUCACAGGUCCUAUUAAAUGAAAGUGAACCAUUAUAUAA